CAGUAGCCGCGGUAAUACGGAGGGUGCAAGCGUUAAUCGGAAUUACUGGGCGUAAAGCGCACGCAGGCGGUCUGACAAGUCAGAUGUGAAAUCCCCGGGCUUAACCUGGGAACUGCAUUUGAAACUGUCAGGCUGGAGUCUUGUAGAGGGGGGUGGAAUUCCAGGUGUAGCGGUGAAAUGCGUAGAGAUCUGGAGGAAUACCGGUGGCGAAGGCGGCCCCCUGGACAAAGACUGACGCUCAGGUGCGAAAGCGUGGGGAGCAAACAGGAUUAGAUACCCGGGUAGUCCCUGUCUCUUAUAA
rnacentral:rRNA from 1 species